rnacentral:rRNA from 1 species
UACAGAGGUCCCAAGCGUUGUUCGGAUUCACUGGGCGUAAAGGGUGCGUAGGUGGUGAGGUAAGUCGGAUGUGAAAUCUCCGAGCUCAACUCGGAAAUGGCAUUGGAAACUACCUUGCUCGAGGGUUGGAGGGGGGACUGGAAUGCUUGGUGUAGCAGUGAAAUGCGUAGAUAUCAAGCGGAACACCAGUGGCGAAGGCGAGUCGCUGGACAGCUCCUGACACUGAGGCACGAAAGCUAGGGGAGCAAACAGG